rnacentral:lncRNA from 1 species
GUUACAAUAUACAUUCAUACAAUUUAAGUGGCAUGACAUACUUAAUAUAUAUAAAAAAUAUUUAUACAGUAGUUUAAUUCACACAAGUUUCCAAAAUGCCCCAAUGCUUUAGAUAACUCCUCUGGCCCACCUGAUAAUAUUGACUGAUACAAAGAGAGCAAUGCACAGCUAAGGCUAUCUACAACUGCACUAACCUGAAAAAAAAAUUUGUUAAGGAAUGAGCUAGCGACUCAAUAAGCAUUUAAUUUACUAAACUAUAGUAUAUUAGGCUAGAAUUAUCAAAUUUUUAUCAAUACAGAAAAUUAUACCAACACUUAACUAACAAUCACAAAAUCAACCAUUUCAGUUAUUCUCAUAAACAUAUAAUUUCAUCUCACGUAAUGCAAAUAAUCUCAAACUCAACCAAGUCAAAUAAUUUAAUUCCAUAUUAUUUCUAUCAAAUUAGGAUCAGAUGACUCAUCCUUACAUUUCCUCACAUUUUUAAAUUUCAGUAAGCACUUGACAAGACUAUCCGCCCGGCUCAGCUUUCCCGAUCACACAAUAUCCAUACAAGAGUCAUCAAUCCUUAAUCACAAUCAAUUCACUUCACAACACAUCACAAUCAAUUCACUUUACAACAAGCCAAAAAUAUAACUAAUAUCAACUCAGUCAACCAAAAAAUUAUCAAGUAAUCAAACAGCAGUUCCUACUCAAUAUACACAAAGUUUAGUCUAUUAAAUACUUACCAAAAGUUAUAGGAUAACAAAGUAAUCCUAUUCUUUUUCUCUUACCACUUCCUUGCCUUUGGAUGAACCUAUUCACAUAUUCAAUACAAAUACAAUUCAAUCACAAGGCAUAUAUAUAUAUAUUAACUAUUAAUAAAAUAUCACAUUUCAACAAAAUAACAUAUAUUCUAGAUAUAAAUAUGAUGCAUGAGAUGAAUGACAACAAAUCAACAUAUUUGUUGAUGAAGGCAGCUUGUAGGUACUGAUUUAGAAAUUACACCAAAACUUAUGUACAAUUAAUAAAAAUCUCAUAUUUUCCAAAAUUACACGUCCAUUUUUAUAGAAACCAUAGCAGAAAGAAUCACUUUAAAAUCAUUGGUAUAGAAAUAGUUAUGGCAUUUUCUAUACAGCUGCUCAAAUUUCUAUCUAAACAGAACAGCAAAAAGUUUCCUAUUAAAUAACCAAUUAAACGAAUGAAUUUUCUGAUGAAACUCUUCAGAUAUAAAUUUAACAUUCUAAAGUUUCUAUAGACACUAAUUUUACUCAAUUUGGACUUCUCUAGCUCAAGUUGUGAAACACAAAAUUAGCAACAAAUUUCUGAAUCCUAAGCCAGAUUUCUACUUAAAACAGUUUCGGGCAGGCCAUAUUAAGUUCAACAUAUCUCACGUUAUACUCAACCAAAAAUUAUGAAAUUUUGCAGACAUAUACUAGAUAUAUAAAUGAACACCUUUCAUGUUUAACUCUCUGCUUGGUUCAGUCUCUAAAUGCCUCAAAAUGUCAGCACAAAAACCAGGUCACCUGCUGAACUAAAAACAGAGCAGCAGUAAAAUCGAAUCUCAUAAGUUCCUACUCACUCAACAAUCUGCAAAACCAUUUUACAGAGAUAUUCUUGAGACAUAUACCUACAACUUUCAUGUUUGAGAAUUUUCGAGAUAAAGCCUCUAAGGUCACGAAAUCAUAAGUGAAAUAUCUGCCCAGAAAUUUCAGCUUCAAGAUCACAAGUAAAAGCAUGUUUACUCUUGAUUAAACAAUUCCAAAAUACAUAAUCAUCAACAAUUUCAUAUCAUUAACCCUAAUUUACAGCAAAAUCAAGCAAUUAAAAUUACUCACCUUUGUUUUCCUUAAUUAAGAAAGCCCAAAUCUUUCAAGCUUAAAAGAAGAAUUUGAUUUUCACUUACUAAAAAUUUUGUAGAGUUUGAUUUGGAAAAUCAAAGUUGAAGAAGGAAAGGAGAAAAAUGAGAGAGACAAAGAAGAAAAGGAAAU